AUGUGGCCAAGAAGCUGUCUAGUGUAGUAGGUCCCACUGACUAUUACCCACUUCUUGUGGUCCAUGUGGGUGCUGGUGAUAUCGACAGCAGUAGCCUGGGAAUCAUUAAGAAGGACUA